rnacentral:rRNA from 1 species
UAGGGAAUCUUCCGCAAUGGACGAAAGUCUGACGGAGCAACGCCGCGUGAGUGCAGAAGGAUUUCGGUUCGUAAAACUCUGUUGUUAGGGAAGAAAAAAUGUAUAGUAACUAUAUACAAAAGAGACGGUACCUAACCAGAAAGCCACGGCUAACUACGUGCCAGCAGCCGCGGUAAUACGUAGGUGGCAAGCGUUGUCCGGAAUUAUUGGGCGUAAAGCGCGCGCAGGUGGUUUAGAAAGUCUGAUGUGAAAGCCCACGGCUCAACCGUGGAGGGUCAUUGGAAACUAAUAAACUUGAGUGCAGGAGAGAAAAGUGGAAUUCCUAGUGUAGCGGUGAAAUGCGUAGAGAUUAGGAGGAACACCGGUGGCGAAAGCGGCUUUUUGGCCUGCAACUGACACUGAGGCGCGAAAGCGUGGGGAGCAAACAGG